rnacentral:rRNA from 1 species
GACGAACGCUGGCGGCGUGCCUAAUACAUGCAAGUAGAACGCUGAAGGAGGAGCUUGCUCUUCUGGAUGAGUUGCGAACGGGUGAGUAACGCGUAGGUAACCUGCCUGGUAGCGGGGGAUAACUAUUGGAAACGAUAGCUAAUACCGCAUAACAGUAGAUGUUGCAUGACAUUUGCUUAAAAGGUGCAAUUGCACCACUACCAGAUGGACCUGCGUUGUAUUAGCUAGUUGGUGGGGUAACGGCUCACCAAGGCGACGAUACAUAGCCGACCUGAGAGGGUGAUCGGCCACACUGGGACUGAGACACGGCCCAGACUCCUACGGGAGGCAGCAGUAGGGAAUCUUCGGCAAUGGACGGAAGUCUGACCGAGCAACGCCGCGUGAGUGAAGAAGGUUUUCGGAUCGUAAAGCUCUGUUGUAAGAGAAGAACGAGUGUGAGAGUGGAAAGUUCACACUGGACG